rnacentral:rRNA from 1 species
UACAGGGGGGGGCAAGCGUUGUUCGGAAUUACUGGGCGUAAAGGGCCAGUAGGCGGCCAACUAAGUCCGACGUGAAAUCCCCAGGCUUAACCUGGGAACUGCGUCGGAUACUGGAUGGCUUGAAUUCGGGAGAGGGAUGCAGAAUUCCAGGUGUAGCGGUGAAAUGCGUAGAUAUCAGGAGGAACACCGGUGGCGAAGGCGGGUCUCUGGGCCGUAACUGACGCUGAGGAGCGAAAGCGUGGGGAGCGAACAGG